UACGAAGGGGGCUAGCGUUGUUCGGAUUUACUGGGCGUAAAGCGCACGUAGGCGGAUUGUUAAGUCAGGGGUGAAAUCCUGGAGCUCAACUCCAGAACUGCCUUUGAUACUGGCAAUCUUGAGUCCGGAAGAGGUGAGUGGAACUCCUAGUGUAGAGGUGGAAUUCGUAGAUAUUAGGAAGAACACCAGUGGCGAAGGCGGCUCACUGGUCCGGUACUGACGCUGAGGUGCGAAAGCGUGGGGAGCAACA
rnacentral:rRNA from 1 species